GACGAACCGUGCGAACGUUGUUCGGAAUCACUGGGCUUAAAGGGCGCGUAGGCGGGCGGCCAAGUCAGGGGUGAAAUCUUUCGGCUCAACCGGAAAAGUGCUUCUGAUACUGGCCGUCUUGAGGGAGAUAGGGGCAUGUGGAACUUCCGGUGGAGCGGUGAAAUGCGUUGAUAUCGGAAGGAACGCCGGUGGCGAAAGCGAUGUGCUGGACCUCUUCUGACGCUGAGGCGCGAAAGCUAGGGUAGCGAACGG
rnacentral:rRNA from 1 species